UUCUAAAGUUCACAUGCAUUAGAGACGAGU
rnacentral:piRNA from 1 species